AGGGGAAAAAAGCAAAUUUCAAAACGAAGAAUUCCGCCCUCAGCAGUGAAACAACGCUUCCUAAAGAGAAAGGAAAACAUUGUGCUGGAGCAGAGGGGAAAAAAAACAAACAACAACCCUGGAGUGUUUAUCACUGGAGUGCUGAAUUCCUGACAGAGCCCAGCUGUUCCCAAAUCCCUUUGCUCCCAAAAAAGGGCCGCGCUUCCCUUGCUGGAGCCUGACGUGGUCCUGCGAACGUCAGCAGCGGGAAGCUCCAAAACAAGUGACGUGGGAGCCCAAGCCUCCCACGGAGGGCACUGGAGCACAGCCACGCUUCCAAAGAUGGAGAUCCCAGCAGGAUUCCGGCACUGGGAGAGCCUCUGGAGCCCCGGGAAUGGCAGGGCUUCUGCUGGAGAUUCUCCUGGUUUUGUGGGGCUUGGCAGCAGGGUGAGCGUUGGAAACGCGGGAUCAGCGGGGUUGUCUCAGCAACAGUUGCCUCGAUGUCGCUGUAAAUGUUUAAUGGGAAGCUGAGCCACCUUCCCUGCCCAGAUGGCUCCGGUUCUGGAGCUGGGGAACACGGAUUAACGGGGAGCAGGCAGAUGUUGCCUCACCAGAAGGCUUAAAGCUGUAAUUAGAUGAGCUGGGAUGGGGCUGUGGGGGCAGAGCAUCCUCGGAAGGGUUCAGGGGGACACAGGAGGAGCUUCCGAGGUCCUGGUGAGGUCUGAACCUCCAAAAAUCCUGGGAUGAAAUGCAGGGUGCCGGAUGGAUUAACCCCCAGCUCUCCCAGUUUGUCCCAGCUCCCAGUCCAGGACAUCUGGUGAAGGUGAUGGGAAUUGUCAGGAUGGGAAACGGGUCCUGUUCUGUGGUGGGAGCUGCUGUGUGGAAUCCUGGCUGGAAGCACCUCAGGAUCUGCCUGGUGCUGAUGGUUUUUUUCCCCAAAAUAACAGCUGAUAUUAAUUCAGGCUGGGAGAUGCGUUACCAAUCCUAAAUGGAUUUUGGGAGAUUACACACUUUAAUAAAUUCAAUUUUUAAGAGAUCAAGCUAUAUAUAAAAAAAAUAAUAAAAGAAUUGAUGCAACAUAAGGCCCAUAAAAAAAAUUAAAGGAAAAUCCAGUGAAAAGAAGCUCCAGUUAUCCAUAAAAUAUUUCCUGAGACAAAACAACACCCAUAUGCCUGCUCAUUCAUAUAAAUCCAGCAUUUCUGGAGUUCUUUUUCCCACCUGUGCUGUGCAUGGAGAUGUUUAUAUGCAGGGAAGGGAUUUGGGAAUCUGUCUGAAGGCCUGGAAAGGCAGGAAAUAAUGUUGGGAUUGAUUUGGGGAUAGGUGGAAGGAUCUGCAGCCCAUUCCCAGGAGCUCCCUGGAGUUCAGCACCUGCGGGGAAGUGGAUGCUGAGCUCCAGGGAAUGUCAGGGAGAUGCCAGCAGAGCAGAGCCAGGGUUAUUUGGGGAACAGGACGGUCAGAAAUCGAGUUGGAGCCGUUUCACAAUGCCAGAGAGGCUCGGGAUUUGUUUACAGAGCCCGAUGACAGCGGCUCAGCACCGAGGGAAAAUGAGGAAUGAUGCAAGACGGCAGGAAUGGACAGUGGGAGACGGCAGCAUGGAAUCCUCACGGAAAAAAACUCUUCUGAGUGCUCAUAAAACAUCCCCGGGGACAAGAGGUGAGCAAACGACCCUGGAGGAGAGGCAGGGGGGAAUGGCUGCAGCGUUUCGUAAUCGGGAGCUGGGAGAGAGGAGCUUUCCGGGCUGUCCCAAACAGCAGGAAUGGCCUGAACUUCAUGGAUCUCCUGACCAAGGACUUUGGGAGUCCUGACCAAGAUCUGUUUCCUUUGAGAGGAGGGAAUUUGAAGAUUUUUAAAACUUUCUUGCCAUGAAUCUGACCCAAACCAGCUGCCAGGUAUUUGCUGUGCAUGGAGAGAGCGUGUGGAGGUGGAAUCCCUGUCCCUGGAGGUGUCUGAGGAGCUCCUGGAGGUGUCCGAGGGGCUCCUGGAGGUGUCCGAGGAGCUCCUGGAGGUGUCCGAGGAGCUCCUGGAGGUGUCUGAGGGGCUCCUGGAGGUGUCCAAGGAGCUCCUGGAGGUGGCCAAGGAGCUCCUGGGCUGAUGACAAGGUGGGGACGGGGCACAGCUUGGACUCCAUGAUCCUGGAGGGCUUUUCCAACCUCAGAGAUUUUGGGAUUCUAUUGCUGUACCUCCGGUGAUGAUGCUGGACCUUCAUCCAGGGCUUCCCACAGGAUGGAUCUCAUGGCAGCCAUCCCAAAUGUUCCGUUUAGAAAAAGAAGAAGAAAUUUGGGCCAGGCCAGCUCCCAAAUCCCUCUCCUGAGGCAGCUGAGUAGAUUUCAGCCCUUCCAGCAUUCCAAUCACCUCCUUGCCCCUGUUCCAGGAGCUCCAGCAGCUCCGUGUGCGCCCAGGGAAGGACGGACACGUGCUGGGAUGACACGAUGGGACAUCUGAGAUGGCCAAAAAGGACGAGUUUAUCUCUGCCAAGGCUCUGGGGUGCUCUGCUGUACGGAAUGGGAUUCCUGGGUGUGGAAAUAAAUGGAUUAAUGCUUCACCAGGAAUCCUGGCAGGCUUGGGUGAGGUUUUGGGUGGAUGUGUUUAAUAAUUUCUCUUUAACCCUAAACCAGUCAUGUCUUGGAGAGGGACUUUGGACAAGGGGAAUGGCCUGAGGAUGAAGGAGGGCAGGGUUAGAUAGGAUAUAAGGGAGAAAUUCCUCCCUGUGAGGGUAGGAAAGCCCUGGAAUAGAAUUCCAGAGAAGCUGUGGCUGCCCCUGGAUCCAUGGAAGUGUCCAAGGCCAGGUUGGAGCACCCUGGGAUAGUGGGAAGUGUCCCUGCCAUAGCAGGGGUGGAAUGGGAUGAGCUUUAAGGUCCCGUCUAACCCAACCCAGUCGGGGAUUCCAUGAUUCCACAUCUCCCACAGGCUUUAAAACCCGGGAGAAACAAACUGCCUUUAUCCUGGCUUUUUUUACUUAUGGCGAGGACAAACUGCUCCAUUUCCAUAAAAAACUGCUACAAAAUUCCUCUUCACUUCCAGUCUCGAUUUGUGAUUAACAGCUCAGCUCUCUGGCCUGUAACCGCUUUUCCUCUCCCGAUGUUGCCGGAAGACUCCAGGAAAAUCCCUCCACGGCCUGGGAAGAAGAGCAGGCAACAUUGACACCUGCUGUCGGGAAUUUUAAUAGCCACACACUCCAGCAGAGCCGAGAGCAUGAAAACAGCCAAUAAAAACCCGAGCUGAAACAAG